rnacentral:rRNA from 1 species
ACAGAGGGUGCAAGCGUUAAUCGGAAUUACUGGGCGUAAAGCGCGCGUAGGUGGUUCAGUAAGAUGGGUGUGAAAUCCCCGGGCUCAACCUGGGAACUGCUUUCAUAACUGCUGAACUAGAGUACGGUAGAGGGUAGUGGAAUUUCCUGUGUAGCGGUGAAAUGCGUAGAUAUAGGAAGGAACACCAGUGGCGAAGGCGACUACCUGGACUGAUACUGACACUGAGGUGCGAAAGCGUGGGGAGCAAACAGG